AACGAACGCUGGCGGCAGGCCUAACACAUGCAAGUCGAGCGCCCAGCAAUGGGAGCGGCGGACGGGUGAGUAACGCGUGGGAAUUUUUCCUGGAGUACGGAACAACCGAGGGAAACUUCGGCUAAUACCGUAUGAUGCCGAGAGGCCAAAGAUUUAUCGUUCUGGGGUGAGCCCGCGUCAGAUUAGGUAGUUGGUGGGGUAAAGGCCUACCAAGCCUGCGAUCUGUAGCUGGUCUGAGAGGACGAUCAGCCACACUGGGACUGAGACACGGCCCAGACUCCUACGGGAGGCAGCAGUGGGGAAUCUUGCGCAAUGGGCGAAAGCCUGACGCAGCCAUGCCGCGUGAGUGAAGAAGGUCUUAGGAUUGUAAAGCUCUUUCGCUCGUGACGAUGAUGACGGUAACGAGAGAAGAAGCCCCCGGCUAACUUCGUGCCAGCAGCCG
rnacentral:rRNA from 1 species